UACGGAGGGUGCAAGCGUUAUCCGGAUUCACUGGGUUUAAAGGGUGCGUAGGUGGGCAGUUAAGUCAGUGGUGAAAUCUCCGGGCUUAACCCGGAAACUGCCAUUGAUACUAUCUGUCUUGAAUAUCGUGGAGGUAAGCGGAAUAUGUCAUGUAGCGGUGAAAUGCUUAGAUAUGACAUAGAACACCUAUUGCGAAGGCAGCUUACUACGCAGAUAUUGACGCUCAUGCACGAAAGCGUGGGGAUCAAACAGG
rnacentral:rRNA from 1 species